rnacentral:misc_RNA from 1 species
GAAAUGCGAUACUUGGUCUGAAUUGCAGAAUCCCGCGAACCAUCGAGUCUUUGAACGCAAGUUGCGUCCAAAGCCAUUAGGUUGAGGGCACAUUUGCCUGGGCGUCUCACGUUGCGUCACCCGCAACCCCUCCCCCGAAGGGGGGAAGAAGGGCUACGGGCGGAUAUUGGCCCCCCGCGCGCGCUCGCUCGCGAUCGGCCCAAAAGUGAGUCCCCCGCGAUGGACGAUGCGUCGCGAUGAGUGGUGGUUGACACACCGUUGCGUCACCUCGCGCGUGUCCGAGCCGUCUCGGGAGGCCUGCCGUGACCCUAUCGCGCCACUGCCAAGGCGCUCUGAUCGCGACCCCAGGUCAGGUGGGAUUACCCGCUGAGUUUAA